GACUCGAUGGCGGAUGGCCUGCGCCUGCGCUUCUCACACCGAAUUUCAAAGAUAUCCGCAGUAGUCGCCUGUUCGAAUCAGGCUCGAGUUG